rnacentral:rRNA from 1 species
UGGGAAUAUUGCACAAUGGAGGAAACUCUGAUGCAGCGACGCCACGUGAGUGAAGAAGUAAUUCGUUAUGUAAAGCUCUAUCAGCAGGGAAGAUAGUGACGGUACCUGACUAAGAAGCUCCGGCUAAAUACGUGCCAGCAGCCGCGGUAAUACGUAUGGUGCAAGCGUUAUCCGGAUUUACUGGGUGUAAAGGGAGCGCAGGCGGUACGGCAAGUCUGAUGUGAAAGCCCGGGGCUCAACCCCGGUACUGCAUUGGAAACUGUCGGACUAGAGUGUCGGAGGGGUAAGUGGAAUUCCUAGUGUAGCGGUGAAAUGCGUAGAUAUUAGGAGGAACACCAGUGGCGAAGGCGGCUUACUGGACGAUCACUGACGCUGAGGCUCGAAAGCGUGGGGAGCAAACAGGAUUAGAUACCCUGGUAGU